GAGCGAUUGGAGGAAGAGGGGUGCGUGGCUGCUGAUGGGCGUGUGGAGGGAGUCAGCAGUGUCGCUGUAAACUCGCUGAACUGAGAGGACGUAACUGGGCGAAAGGUCGCAGCCUUUAGGAGCUAUAUAAUAGUGCAACAUGUUUGUGCAUCUAGACAUCUUAAACAGAUCUGAAGACUUAAGCUGAGGUUCUUCAUCAUCAGCGCUCAUUAAAAGAUCAUCUGGUCAUCGAAGAGUGAAUAUUUUCUCCAAGAAGGAACUUAAAGGAGGUAAAUGAGGUUGAGGGGGUAUUUGAGGCCACUUCUGAUUCAAGACACUCUCUAUUUAGCUGGCCUCUUCCUGUCCACCAGACAGAUGGGCUAUUGGAGCACAGCCUGUUUCCAUGACAACUGCUUUGGAUACAGCUAGCUGAAAACCACAGGACACACAGACAGCCAAAUAAAAUACAC